rnacentral:lncRNA from 1 species
CAAAGAUGUUCAUGUUAUACUCCCUGAAACCUGUGCAUAUAGCAUGUGACAUAACUAAGAGAAUUAAGUCUACAGAGGGGAUCAAAACUGCAAAUCAACUGACUUUAUGAUAGGGAGAUUAUCCAUUGGCCCACGUAAUCACAGUUCUUUAAUGUGAAGAAGGAGGCAGAUCAUCAAUGUUAGAGUGCUGUGAUAUGAGAAGGAAUAAGGUGGCCAUCUCUGGCAUUGAAGAUGGAAGACAGCCAUGACCAUCUCUGGUGCUGAAGAUGGAAGACAGCUAUGAGCCAAGGAAUGCAGGCAGCCUCUGGAAGCUGAAAACGGGACUUAGAAGCAGAAGCCAUGUCACAAAGUUUGGAUAUGUGUCCCCACCCAAAUCCCAUGUUGAAAUGCAGCCCCCGUCAUUGGAGGUGGGGCCUGGUGGGAGGUGCUUGGAUCAUUCGGGUGGAUUUCUCAUGAAUGUUUAGCACCCUCCCCUUGAUGCUGCCCUCAGGAUAGCGAGUGAGUUCUUGAGAGAUCUGGCGGUUUAAAAGUGUGUAGCACCUCCCUGCUCUCUCUCUUUUGCUCUUGCUUUCGCCACGUGACUGCCUGCUUCCUCUUUGCCUGCCACCAUGAUUGGAAGCUUCCUGAGGUCUCCUUAGAAGCAGAUGCCACCAUGCUUUCUGUACAGCCUGCAGAACUGUGAGCCAAUUAAACCUCAUUUCUUCUAAAUUAUCCAGUCCCAG